rnacentral:rRNA from 1 species
CUUAGUGGCGCACGGGUGCGUAACGCGUGGGAAUCUGCCCAAAGGUACGGAAUAACUCCUCGAAAGGGGUGCUAAUACCGUAUGAUGUCGCAAGACCAAAGAUUUAUCGCCUUUGGAUGAGCCCGCGUAGGAUUAGCUAGUUGGUGGGGUAAAGGCCUACCAAGGCGACGAUCCUUAGCUGGUCUGAGAGGAUGAUCAGCCACACUGGGACUGAGACACGGCCCAGACUCCUACGGGAGGCAGCAGUGGGGAAUAUUGGACAAUGGGCGAAAGCCUGAUCCAGCAAUGCCGCGUGAGUGAUGAAGGCCUUAGGGUUGUAAAGCUCUUUUACCCGGGAAGAUAAUGACUGUACCGGGAGAAUAAGCUCCGGCUAACUCCGUGCCAGCAGCCGCGGUAAUACGGAGGGAGCUAGCGUUGUUCGGAAUUACUGGGCGUAAAGCGCACGUAGGCGGCUUUACAAGUCAGAGGUGAAAGCCUGGAGCUCAACUCCAGAAUUGCCUUUGAGACUGUAUCGCUUGAACACGGGAGAGGUGAGUGGAAUUCCGAGUGUAGAGGUGAAAUUCGUAGAUAUUCGGAAGAACACCAGUGGCGAAGGCGGCUCACUGGACCGUUGUUGACGCUGAGGUGCGAAAGCGUGGGGGAGCAAACAGGAUUAGAUACCCUGGUAGUCCACGCCGUAAACGAUGAUGACUAGCUGUCCGGGCACUUGGUGCUUGGGUGGCGCAGCUAACGCAUUAAGUCAUCCGCCUGGGGAGUACGGCCGCAAGGUUAAAACUCAAAGAAAUUGACGGGGGCCUGCACAAGCGGUGGAGCAU